CCUCUUCCCAAAUUGUCCAUUUUUCUGCACAAUCUGAACGUCAGUAAGGGAGACAUUACUGUAGAAUGAUUUUUAUCGUGUGCGCAGAGUAACCUCGAUUAUCCAACGUCGGAAUAUAUUUCACAGCAACAACAACGAGCUCCGAAUGGUACGGAUAACCGAGGUUCUGCGAGUUGAACGAGAGGGCGGCCGAUUUGCGGCGGUCAAAGCUGGUUAAGUCGCCGUUAGCGCAUCGUCGCUAAGUAAGUGCGAAUUAACGUUUGCGCGUAUAUGAAAGGCAGUGAGAGAGACAGAGAGAGAGAGAGAGAGAGAGAGAGAGAGAGAGAGAGAGAGAGAGAUAGCAGAGCUAGAAUCGGGAAACGCAAAGCCCCUAAUCAGCGGAGCCGCAACCCGUCAUAAUCCCGUGUCGAUUGCCGAGAGUCGACCGGCGCGCGGCGUCGACGUUUCCGGCGGAAUUUUGGAAUUUGCUGCAACGACGUUCCCGAGACGGUCUCCUUUGCCCGGUCGGCGCUUUAAUCACCGCGUCUCUUAAUCAUCUUGCACGGACAAUUAAUUGGAAGCUAGGUUAAAUUCGAGGUUGAAUUGUUUUAUUCGCUUUUGCGAGAACGCAUGCUUUUGGGGGAAUGAAAUAAUGCCUUUAUUUACUACAUAAUUUCACGAGAAAGUGUACAGAAUAAACAAUUUACGAAUAAUUUAAUAGAUUGUAUACAGAAA